GUCUAAACUAACUGCUUUGCUCGAGUACAAAAGCCAUAGCAAUUCUUUAUCUAAAUUUUUUUACAUAUAAAAUACUAUACAUUUCCCUUAAGUAAGUGUGGUUGUCCUUAUUUGCAGCUGAGAGCCAAGCUGAAUUACGAAGGUUUGAAGCUUGAACUGAUCGAUUCGUAGGUUCUCUAUAAGUUAUCAGGGAGUUUACGAUCUACGACGCGGCCGGCUCAACGACGCAGUCUAAAUUUUAGCUCAAGAAUGAGCGCUAAGCAAUUUGAUUACUGUAAUAAAUAUUUGACUCUUUCAAAUAACCUUACAAAAUGCUACGUUCGGCUAAUGCGAUGCAAUGUUUGCUGUAAUUUCAACUUUUAGUAACACCUGUUGUGUCGCAUUAGGCUUUCGCGUUGCCUGAAAGACGUAAUAAUGCUUUUUUAACGUUGUGUUGAGAAUGACAACGCAGUUGACAAUACUCAUGGGACCACAAAUUAUUGACAGUUUUUGUCUUGCAUGACAAAUUUCUUUGUAAGUUCUUUGUAGGGCGAUAAAACACAUAGUACUAUUGUUUGUGGAAACACCAAAUUUCUUUGUUUUGAAAGCGCGUCGUCGAGCCGGCCGCGUCGUAGAUCGUAAACUCCCUAAUAGCGAAAGUUGCCAUUCUCUGGUAGGUUUACUCACGCCGGGGUAUCUUAACCUCUCUAAUGCCUCUGAAAAUAGCGUUCCUACAAGGUAUGGAUAUAGGUGUUUUUUCACGUCGCUACGGAAAACUAUCCGGUACAGUGUUAAGCCUGUUUUCCACUUCAACCAUAUCGUAACGUAACGUAACGUAACGUAACGUACCGUAGCAUUUUCUUUCGUGUCGAAGUCAUUAGUUACACACUACCGCUCAGGAAACAAAGAAAUACACUACGCUAUGGCACGAUACGGUUGAAGUGGCAAACUAGCUUUAAACGAAGCCUAGUGAUGCGACUCCGGCAAACCUUUAUUAAUUAACAUAUAAUCAAUUCAAAUCCUAUACUAUAGCUGUAACACUACGUUCGGCUGAAUUGAAGGUGGACGAUACUAUCAUACGACCGUUACUUAAACGCUGCAUUGAAGAAAAGUGUAAGCCGAAUAGGAGUAUAGGAAGCAGUUCUCUUCCAGAUAAUAGGGAUUCCAACAAGACACUCGCCAUGCAGGUUUGAAAUUUUCUUUCAAAAUUUUUACAUCAACUACCUGUACUCAUACUGGGUUCGACUUUCCGCAGGUCGAUCUACCUGCAGGUGUAUUGAAAUAUUUGCAACGGCGAGUAGCCAAUUAAGGGCCUGUUCAUAUGGGCAAAAUUUAUCCCGGUUAACGAGAAAACUUUUCGACUAUAGCCAAAUACUUUUGUUCUGUUCAUAUGGAGAAACUUUAUCCCGCUUACCAGGUAAAGUUUUCGGCUGUGUCGUGGCACUGAACAUCAAUUGAAUUGAAAAGUUGCUGACACGACAGAAAGUUAUCCCGCUAAGCGGGAAAGUUGUGUUCAUAUGGGAAAAACAUUAUCCCGGUCACCAAGAUCUCGCCUGUCAACAAGCGAGAUCUCGGUACACGGGAAAACUUUUUGUCUGAUAUGAACGCAGUGUAACUUUUCAUAUUAUUUUCGUACCAAGGCGAGAUCUCGCUUGUAAACUUGUCGUGAAAGUUUUCUCGCUAACCGGGAUAACUUUUGCCCAUAUGAACAGGCCCUAAGUUUGUAUUGUAUAUUCAGUGUUGAGUACAGUAUUUAAUGAAAAUUUUAUUUAAUGUUUCAAUGUGAAUAAUGCCGGUUUUCCACUUGUCUUUGGUCUCUCAACUAGAACCAUCUGGAACUAAUUAGAUAAAGACAAAAGAAAAAUUCGCUUUGCGCAAAAAAAUUCGCAAGUGGAAAACCGGCUUAAGGACGUUUUCUACUAGGCGGAAUUUUUCUUUGUUUUGUGAUAUCUCGGGUGGAACUAAUUAGAAAAGACAAAGAAAAAUUCUGCUCCGCGCGGAAAAUUCCACCUGGCUAGUGGAAAAUGGCCUUCAAAGACUAUUUGGAAAAGUCAAAAUUUAAAAAUUACGUUAUUCCGUUGCUUCCAUUGUUCUGCAUUUUGUCCAUACCAUCAGGGAAUCAGUUCAAGGCAAAAAGAAUGGUUGAAAUUUAGCGAAUACAGUUUUAGCAAAGUUUGCACGAGAGUAGGCUGAGUGCUGAUUUAUAUGUCAUCGGAUUUAUUAUCUAUUUAUUUACAGGUGAUAUAAAAAUAAUAUUUGGAUGAGCUUACAGCUAUCGACGUUUGACAACAAUAUUUAUAAACAUGUUCAUCUUCAGGAAUUGUUUAACCUCGCGCGGAUCUCUAUUCAACAGCUGCUGCGUGGUCAGCUCUCCUCAGCUCUGGAUGUCGUUAAUGUGAAUAUUUACCUCGAGACAAUAAUAUACAACAGUAAUAGUCCCAUUACGAGUGUUUGUGAAUAAUACGAAGUACUAGCUCCAGAACGAGGAGUAAUAACAGUAGAUGCCAUUGACAUUGUUCGUUCUACAUCGCCGUCUGUCAUUGGUUCAUCAGCCUGAAGUGCAGGUUUAGCUACAAGAAUAAAACCUGGAGUUUAGAAACAGCGAAACGGUAGCUAUAAAAAUUCAUUCAAGUCAAAGAGAACUGCUAUGGGAAAAUUCCAGUGAUAGUCUGAUAUUUGGUGAUCUCGAUAGGAGGUUCGUAAGCGUUCAAUUUAAAGGUCUGACAAUGAUGAGCACAAUAAUUAAUUAUUAUUGGGUUAGGUUGAGCGUGAUAUCGAGAAUGAUCAACCUCGGCCUUGAUAAUUCUCGAUAUAACGCUCAACCUCAUCCAAUAAUUAUUAAAUAUUUGCAAAGUUCACAUCGCUUCCAUUUUGGAUGAAUUCGACAAAGGAUUACCUAAAAUUGAAUACCAUUUUCAUCCAAUAUAGCCGGAAAUCACGUUUGGACAAAACGACUUUCGUUACUAAAUCGAUU
rnacentral:lncRNA from 1 species